rnacentral:rRNA from 1 species
GACGAACGCUGGCGGCGUGCCUAACACAUGCAAGUCGAACGGAGCACUUCGGUGCUUAGUGGCGAACGGGUGAGUAACGCGUGAGAAACCUGCCUCUCAGUGGGGGACAACAGUUGGAAACGACUGCUAAUACCGCAUAAUGUAUUCGGAAGGCAUCUUCUGAAUACCAAAGCUUUAUUGCUCAAGGAUGGGCUCGCGGCCGAUUAGGUAGUUGGUGAGGUAACGGCUCACCAAGCCGACGAUCGGUAGCCGGACUGAGAGGUUGAACGGCCACAUUGGGACGUGAGACACGGCCCAGACUCCUACGGGAGGCAGCAGUGGGGAAGUAUUGCACAAUGGGGGAAACCCGU